UGCAGAUUUUCUCAAUUGCGAUUAGUAAACAUGACAAUUGUUGAAUAUUCACAAAUCGUAUGGAUCGGUUCGAUCUUUGACGACGCAUACCAAAGAUUCUAGUUCUAAACUCGUUGGCGCAUACAUCUAUCCAAGCCUAUCCGAAAUUAUAAAAUUUGUAAUAUUUUCAACAAAUAUCGUGCCAUUCAAAUUUUUGGGGUUAGAAAUUUGGGAAUGAUCAAACUUGGAUUGGUACGAUGAUUUGAAGUAUUUAUUCUCGAAAGAACAAGUGGUUUAGCAUGUCGGACUAUCAAGAAGUUAUCAACACGUGUGGAGACGGUGUUGUCUGUUUUCGUAACAAAGGUGCAUUGGACGUGGAUCAAAUAAAAAAUCUAUUUUCCCAGUAUGGCCAAGUAUUACAAGUAAAUUGCGCUGGUACUCAUGAAUGUGGAUACCGUUUUGUAAAAUUUCGGUCAAAAGAGGAUGCGGUAAAAUGUGCUCAGGCAAUGAAAGGACAUCCUGACAUACAAUUGCAACCAGUAAGGCAAAAGAACAAGGAACAAAAGAAAUACAAUGAUAAGUCGCAACACAAACCCAAUAAUUAUAACAAAAACCACACAGGCUAUGAACAGACAAACAAUGAAACAUUUCACAGCAACGCACAUACUCAUCAAACAGGUAGAACUGAAAAUGGUCCUACCAGGGCACUACAUCAAACGAAUAUGCAGUUUUCGAAUCAAGACAAAGAAAACGACGUUUUUAAUCAUUCCAACGGUGCUCAUGAUGUUAAUCAAAGAAAUUCUGAAGAGAUUUAUCUGAAAUCGAACAACGCUGAUCCAGUAAAGAAACCAUUAAGUGCAAGAGUAGCCCAAAACUUGCCAAAUGAUGAACCUAAAGAUGUGAUUACAUCAAAUCUGACUGUUGAAAAAUUUGCAGAAUUACAAAGACGUCGAGGCAUGACUUCCAAUACAUUUAGCCCACAAAACCAAACGGAAGACACUGAAUCUCAAAAAUCAGUCAAAGACAUAUCUCCCAACCCAUUACGUGUAAAGUCGUGGCCACCUUUGAACAAUGCUAUUAAGGGACCACCAUCAGUGACUGAUAUGCCGCCACCUUUAAUAGCCUGUACGUCUUAUCUAGACAAAGCCAGUGCAGAAGAACCUGAAAUGCAUGUUAUUUCUGCCUAUGACGUUAUUAUAGCAAAUAUUCAUUCAAAUCUUGGAGUCAAUGACAUAUAUCAUGUAUUCCGCAAUUACGAUUUGGUCUAUGUUUCUGACAUUGAAACUAUACCACAGAUUAACAUACGGUUCUGCUACAUUUAUUUUGCCUCAGAAAAUGAUGCUCGCAGAGCCGAAAAAUCCUUUGACGGACUACAAGUAUUAGGAAAACAUUUAAUUACUUUACAAUCACAUACACUGGAACUUGAAUCAAGAAUCUUCUAGGGUAAUUCCAAUACCUUUAAUACAGUCAUAAAUGAGUAGCGGUACAUCUGAUACUUACUUCAGAAUCCAACAUCUCAACGAUGAAGAACAGUUGCCGAUUCUUGGAACAUAUAGAUGAACCUGAAACAAGAAAACACAAAGUUGUUCAAGUGGUUGAUACAUGAGAUGAAAAGAUUAACGUAGUUGGAAAUAUUUUAAUUUAAUGCUUUUAUAAUUACAAUUUUAAUUUUUUUGUUGGUGGAAUCUUCAUUUUUGUCCUGUCAUUUUCGUCAGUGAUAUAAUUUCAAAAAUACGUAAAACAAAAAUUAAAGUUAUUCAGAUUUAUCAAAACUCUAAGUCAUCCUACUUGCGAAUAGGUCAUUUUCUCAAUUUAUAGUAUUUCAACUUUGACUAAAACAUUAUUAAGUUUACAAUGGCACCCCUUACAAAAGUUACAGAUAUUUGAUUUAAACAUUAAUUUGAAGAUGACCAUGCAGCUAUAUUAAGCUUUGAUGACAAGUGAAAUGUAAUUUUACAUGAUCUUAUGGUGUUAUUGAUAUUUGAAAAUAUUUUUUCUUGUAACUUUCAUUUUAUCUAAAUGUUGAACUUGCAGAGUAUUUUAUGAAUUGUUAACGAAAUCCUUUGCACUUUGAUGGAUAAUUUCUUGAAAUUCCGUCAUAACUCCUACAUUGAUAGGAUCUUACGCUAUGACCAUACUGUAAAAUAAACAUGUGAUAAUAACAUUAA
rnacentral:misc_RNA from 1 species